AUAGCUCAUAUUCUAGGUUUUUCAGUUUCAGUUCCUGAAAACCAACUUAUCAAUACAAUCUGCUUCAGCAACUGUCUCUGGCAUGGGCUUUACCCCAGAGACCACUUUCUGUCCCCAGCAUCAUCCUCCAAUAUGGGAAGAAGCCCUCAGGACUAGACGUGGAGAAGACAAGACAGUGGGGGAAUGGAAAGCUGGUCACAUCGGGUCCGCAGUCAGGAAGCAGAGACAGGCAGGAUCAAUACCACUCAAAGCCAAAUGUCUCUUCUGGGAUUCAAAACCAUCUCUUAACUGAGCACUCUGGAAAAAAAAUGUAAACAAGUAA